rnacentral:rRNA from 1 species
CCUACGGGGGGCUGCAGUGGGGAAUAUUGGACAAUGGGGGGAACCCUGAUCCAGCCAUGCCGCGUGUGUGAAGAAGGCCCUCGGGUUGUAAAGCACUUUCAGUGAGGAAGAACGCCUGGUGGUUAAUACCCAUCAGGAAAGACAUCACUCACAGAAGAAGCACCGGCUAACUCCGUGCCAGCAGCCGCGGUAAUACGGAGGGUGCGAGCGUUAAUCGGAAUUACUGGGCGUAAAGCGCGCGUAGGUGGCUUGAUAAGCCGGUUGUGAAAGCCCCGGGCUCAACCUGGGAACGGCAUCCGGAACUGUCAAGCUAGAGUGCAGGAGAGGAAGGUAGAAUUCCCGGUGUAGCGGUUAAAUGCGUAGAGAUCGGGAGGAAUACCAGUGGCGAAGGCGGCCUUCUGGACUGACACUGACACUGAGGUGCGAAAGCGUGGGUAGCAAACAGGAUUAGAUACCCGUGUAGUC